UACGGAGGGUGCGAGCGUUAAUCGGAAUCACUGGGCUUAUAGGGUGCGCAGGCGGACUCGCAAGCAUCCCGUGAAAUCCCACCGCUCAACGGUGGAAUCGCGGGGUGGUCUGCGUGUCUUGAGCCCGACAGGGGUCGUCAGAACGCUAGGUGGAGCGGUGAAAUGCGUAGAUAUCUAGCGGAAUGCCAAAGGUGAAGACAGACGACUGGGUCGGCGCUGACGCUCAGGCACGAAAGCGUGGGGAGCGAACGGG
rnacentral:misc_RNA from 1 species